rnacentral:lncRNA from 1 species
GGUACAUAUCUCGCUCUCUGUCGCGAGGGAGUCGAGAUCGCGGAUUUCCAAGGCGACCACCUUCGAUUCCUCUGACAGCGCUCGCACUGCCGCUGCGUCGCCAAGUACGCGGGCGAUGCUCUCCUUCAUGGUCUCAGCGCUCUCUGAGCUGUCUUUUGCCACCUCCAACAGAAGAUUGCCGUUGAAGGUGCGGCGUACCCUGGAAACGCAGCUUCCCAGGUCCGACAGCUGGUUGUCCUCCCUCCUGGUCACCAUGGCCAAUACCUCGCUGUACGUCUUGCCGCCAGCUUGCACUACGACCGCGUCGGGGCGUGCGCGGUGCGCUAUCCUCGUCUUCUUGGCCACCACCCUCCACUCGCUGUCGUGGUUCUCAUGGCUGUCUCGCUGGCUGGGGGCUUUGUGCGCCGCCUUCUGUUCGUGUGCCUUGCUCUGGGCCUUUUUCGGACGCUUCGUGUGUGCGCCUUUGAGACCUGCUGGGCGCAUAAGCGUGGGAGCCUGCUCCCCAACAGGGCCAUCCGACACAACCGGCUGGCUUAGCCUUCGCCACGGCUCGGUUUGCGAUGCGGCAUCCUUUUUCCAGACGGUCGUUGUCUGCUGCUCCUUGUCCGCGCUCUGAAUGCUCAGUGCGCAUUUCGAGCAGAGGACUACGCCCUCCAUGCCCUCCUGCAUGUCGCUUCUACCCGCUUCGGCCGCCUGGUUAGCAUCCUGUAUGUCCGAAUGCAGCUUCUUUAUACGUACAAACAGGCUUCUGGUCGCCUCAUUGAUAUGGCGCGUGCUCUUGUCCAGCAUCCUGGAUGUGAUCUCCUCCAGGAGUCUACCCAGCUCCGCUAGGUUCUGCUGACCGUUAGCUUCCUGCGAUGCCUUGCUCUUCUUUGGCGGUGUCAGUCUCUGCGAGCUCGCCGGGCUUGCGGGGUCCCUAACCCUUUUGGGGGUCUCUUUGGGGUCAACCUCACAACCCUGAACGGCUCCUGGCGUUGCCUGGAGUACCGGCGAUCGGAUGAGAUUGCCCCUCAUUACGACCACCGAAGCAUCGGCUUUCCUCCCUUCUUCCGGCAGUUGGCGCGGCGAUCUUGCCAGCGCCGAUCUGCCCACGAACGGGUUUCCCGUGUCCAUAUCUCGUUUAUGCUCUAAUUAGCUACGCGGUCCGCACUUGUGGGCUCCCUCGCUGGCCUCGGAUUUCCCCUUGGCUUCUCGAUGGGGGAUAUACCGCCCCUUCCCCGGUCCCCGACGUCCCGUUGACCGGGACACCGCCUGAGCGGGGGAUCGGAGUGUGGUCGGAUCCGUGACCUUUUCCCACUGCCCCUCGUGCAGACUAUCCAGGCCUAGAAAUUUGGCCUGGAAAUUUGUAGCUUUUGCGCCACCUUAUCCCCUUUGCGGUCUUGCAGUUACCUGCUACGUGACAGCUGCCGGCGGUGGGGUAUCGAUAUAUCGAUAUAUCGGUAUGCGCAAGCUCGCUUGCGCUCCCCACCACUAAUUAGCGAUCAGCUGCUCGCAACAAGCAAAGAAGAUUGCGAAAAUGGGAAAAAUUGUUUUUGCCUUCCCAAAGAAGAGAGCGCGAAAAACCCGUGGCCUCCUCGCCUCUCCUCCCCUCCUCUGUGUAUGGAGCGGCGCCCAGCGACUGGAUUCCGCGCCGGGAGACUCACCCUGAACGCGUAUGUCGGUCUGGCUCGGUACGUACCCCUUCCUGUCGGGCACCUUCUCACUUUUACCUUUUUCCAGGCAGUUUCACGCACGGAAAAUGAAUUAGACGCUGGAGGAAAAACAAGCGCGUCCGAUCGCUUUCACUCUUCACUUUCCCUCUCUCUAUACGAGUGGGUGUGUGUGUGUGUGUGUGUGUGUGUGUGAUAACAAACAUGACCACAUGCAGGGCAUAGUCCAGAUUCUGGCCUUCCUCCUACUCGUGGGUCACUGGGAAAUUAUGACAACCUGAAGCUGGACCUCAACUGGAAAUGGAAUAGAAUAGAGUGGAGUGGAGUGGAGUGGCGUUGCAUGGAGAGAAAUGGAAUGCCAGGGGCUGGCAUGGAAUUGUACGUGUCCUUGUUUGCCUCUUCUUCUCGUGUGCUGGGGAAUUCAUGUGCUCUUGGCAGGCAGCCCAGCAGAUUCGUGCAGAUGCAACAACAAUGUCAGCGGUGUAGGCAGGACCUGAGGCAAAAGCCUACGCCAAUUGGCAGAAAACAAAACACGGCAGGGGCAGUGGCUCUGGCUCUGGCUCUGGCUCUGGCACUGACAGGGGCAUGGGCAGGGGCAGGGCAGAGAGAGGCUGCUUGCUACUCAUUGCCAAAAAUGCUUUCCACCUUUUUGCAUCGGAGGGGUAGAUGGGCGUGGCACAGUUUUUGCCUCCUGCCCAAGGACUGCUACUCCUCAUUCCGUACGUUCCUCUGCUCUUCUAUUCCUGCCCCCAUUCUUGGCAAUCAGCUUCUUCUUGCUGCUGCUCGUUCUUGCUCGUUCCUUUCAUGUUUGCCAAACGGAACUUUGGCUCGUUAAUAUUUUUGCACAGCGGGCGUAAAAAGGAUUCCUCUCCCUGCUUCUGCCACUUUUUGUUGCAGCAUACAAACAAAAUCAAAAAAGUUCGAGACAAACGGCCCAACGGAUGGAAACAAAUUUUAUAAAUCAGCAUGAGAACUAGGCCCUUCCGCCCUUCUGCCAAAACCUUUGAAAAGUAUUUGCAAUAUUCAUUUUCCGAACAGCAGCAGGCUUCAUAAAUUUUGUGACUCGGCCUUUUGUCAGUCAACAAAAAUGUGGCACAUGAAAAAUUCAUUUAGCGACGCUCGAAAGUAGGCAACACAAAAUAUUUGCACGGCACGAAAAGUGUCGAGUAAUGGAGACUCCCCUUUGCCCUUCCCGGUAUCAAAAUGCUGAAGUGCCACACACACACACACACACAUACACAAAGGGGUGCUCAAAAAAGAGGGUGUACCCUUAAGAGUGAGCGAGAGAGAGAGAGAGAGAAUCAGAGCAGGGUUAGAGACUAACAAAAUUAAAUGGCGCAUACAAUUUUAAUGCAAAUCAAAUGAUUUAAUUUAAAGCCACAUAAAAGUGGACACUGCCCGGAAAAGUAUCCGGGAAACUGCUGUUUGAACAGCCGGUCGGCCAGGGCGUGGACGCGGCUUGGUUUUCCAUGCGUGUGAGGGGUUCCAGGGUUUUCCUGGGGAACAGCGAACAAAAUAAAACGAAAGCAAUGCCAGGCAAAGUCCCGUAAUUACUUUGAUGAAAAAUGGCAGUUUCAGUGAUUAAGGAAACUGCCCGCAAAAGGGUGGGAUAUGGGGAUGGGAAAGGGAAAGGGAGCCAUGUGCGAUUGUGUGGCAUGUGUGUCCACCAUUCACUUGAUUACACAUACGCCAUGUUGUACGAAUAGAACGCGCAGGAAAUUAAGCCUGGUCCAACCGGAAGUGGCCAAAGCCCAAACCCACAUGGGUGUGUCUGUGUGAGUGUUAGUUUGUAAGCGUGUAUAAGAAUGUCCGCGUGUGUGUGUACAUGAGCCUAAUGAUGUCAGCAGCAGCAGAAGAGAGCGACUUCAACACGCAGUUGCCGCAUUAGUUGUAAUUGCCGCGGCAUGUUCUUCAAAGAGGCAGCGCCUCCCGGACUCCCUGCCUGCCACUCCAUCUUAAAUCCGUCGGCUUAAGGAUACGCCAUAACUCAACAGGAGCGCUGUCCUCUGUGGGUUUUUAAGUAAAUAUCGACAAAAUAUGCCCGACCACACUCUUUCACUCACUCACUCACUCAUUGCACCCCGCAACUCGCACCAGACUUACCACAGUCCCCUCUCUACUUUUACUCUAACAGAAAAACCCGCGGGACCAGAGAUCCGCGACGACAUGAAAAAUCUUGCGCGAAAAACAUCUUGCCAUAAAGAAUGCGCCAGAAAAAUUGCAAUGGAGAUAGGAGCAGCAGCAGCAGCAGCAGCAACAGCAGCGGAGUUUCAGAAGAACUGCAACAGCAAAAAUGACAAUAAAUUGCUGGAAAAAUGAGCAAUGAGUAAUUCAUAUGCUGAGACAGAAGCUGAAGGCAGUCAGGGGAAUAGAUGGGGCAGCAGCAGAGCAAGCAAUUCAACGGGCCAUCAAUCUUGACUGGCUCCUGCUCCUGCUCCUGCUCCGGCUCUUCUGUUACUCCUCCUUGUUCCUUGACUCUCGUUGGCGCCGCAGAGUCUACAUCAAUUUGGCAGGACCAGCAGCAGCCACCAGAAGAUCGGACUCUGCGGACAGACACGGAACGGACAUGACGCGCUUUUAUGUGGCUGCUGGGAAUUGAAGAGCCAGCAGAGGGCCAGAGAGAGGGAGACAAAUGAGAAGGGAGCUAGCUGGCUGUACGUGAGAGUUGAGCGUUUGUAAUAUGCUUGUAAAAUGCAAUAAAUUUUGUUAGCUCUCGGACAAAGUCAGGGCCCAACAGCGGCAGCGGAGUGUGGCAGUGGCAGCAAAAGCAGCAACAUUGACGAUGGCAAGCCAUAAAACGCGUUUUUGAUUUGCC